AUUAAACUCAUCAGUAAAACAAUUCUAAUUAACAUUACAAGAGCUUGUGCCUUUAUACUUAAAAUUAAAACAUCAUGAAGUUUAUUAUUUGCGCAGUUUUGAUUGCUUACGUCGCAUGGUCUAAUGGCGUUCCGACCAUAGAUGGAGAAAAUGCAAGGACAAUUUUCAAUCAAAAUACAAUUACCCCGGGAUCUCCGUGCUUCACUGGUCCGCUAUGUCAGUACAGGACUAUUCCUUGUUUAAUGCAGAGAAGAGCUUGCUCGAGAGGAUGUGCUGCAAGCAACGCCACAACCCCAGUCGGAAGUUGUGCCACAGGAGCUUGUGUAUGCAGCGCUUAAGAUUUAAGAUGGUUGAAUUGUUAAUUACGCGUUCGGUUAUUUAGUUAGACUUAUUAUUAUUAAUCAGUAGACAACUUUAGUACUUUUAGUAAUUUGUAAAGAAUGACUAAAUAUUACAUAUUUCUAUAUUAAUUCGAA